rnacentral:tRNA from 1 species
GGAGGGAUCGCACAGUGGCCGAGUGCGCCCGCCUGCUAAGCGGGUGGGGGGCUAAAAGCCCCCUCGCGGGUUCGAAUCCCGCUCCCUCCGCCA